GCUUAACACAUGCAAGUCGAACGGAAAGGCCCUGCUUUUGUGGGGUGCUCGAGUGGCGAACGGGUGAGUAACACGUGAGUAACCUGCCCUUGACUUUGGGAUAACUUCAGGAAACUGGGGCUAAUACCGGAUAGGAGCUCCUGCUGCAUGGUGGGGGUUGGAAAGUUUCGGCGGUUGGGGAUGGACUCGCGGCUUAUCAGCUUGUUGGUGGGGUAGUGGCUUACCAAGGCUUUGACGGGUAGCCGGCCUGAGAGGGUGACCGGCCACAUUGGGACUGAGAUACGGCCCAGACUCCUACGGGAGGCAGCAGUGGGGAAUAUUGCACAAUGGGCGGAAGCCUGAUGCAGCAACGCCGCGUGCGGGAUGACGGCCUUCGGGUUGUAAACCGCUUUCGCCUGUGACGAAGCGUGAGUGACGGUAAUGGGUAAAGAAGCACCGGCUAACUACGUGCCAGCAGCCGCGGUGAUACGUAGGGUGCGAGCGUUGUCCGGAUUUAUUGGGCGUAAAGGGCUCGUAGGUGGUUGAUCGCGUCGGAAGUGUAAUCUUGGGGCUUAACCCUGAGCGUGCUUUCGAUACGGGUUGACUUGAGGAAGGUAGGGGAGAAUGGAAUUCCUGGUGGAGCGGUGGAAUGCGCAGAUAUCAGGAGGAACACCAGUGGCGAAGGCGGUUCUCUGGGCCUUUCCUGACGCUGAGGAGCGAAAGCGUGGGGAGCGAACAGGCUUAGAUACCCUGGUAGUCCACGCUGUAAACGGUGGGUACUAGGUGUGGGGUCCAUUCCACGGGUUCCGUGCCGUAGCUAACGCUUUAAGUACCCCGCCUGGGGAGUACGGCCGCAAGGCUAAAACUCAAAGGAAUUGACGGGGCCCCGCACAAGCGGCGGAGCAUGCGGAUUAAUUCGAUGCAACGCGUAGAACCUUACCUGGGUUUGACAUGGAUCGGGAGUGCUCAGAGAUGGGUGUGCCUCUUUUGGGGUCGGUUCACAGGUGGUGCAUGGCUGUCGUCAGCUCGUGUCGUGAGAUGUUGGGUUAAGUCCCGCAACGAGCGCAACCCUUGUUCACUGUUGCCAGCACGUUAUGGUGGGGACUCAGUGGAGACCGCCGGGGUCAACUCGGAGGAAGGUGGGGAUGACGUCAAGUCAUCAUGCCCCUUAUGUCCAGGGCUUCACGCAUGCUACAAUGGCUGGUACAGAGAGUGGCGAGCCUGUGAGGGUGAGCGAAUCUCGGAAAGCCGGUCUCAGUUCGGAUUGGGGUCUGCAACUCGACCUCAUGAAGUCGGAGUCGCUAGUAAUCGCAGAUCAGCAACGCUGCGGUGAAUACGUUCCCGGGGCUUGUACACACCGCCCGUCAAGUCAUGAAAGUUGGUAACACCCGAAGCCGGUGGCCUAACCGUUGUGGGGGAGCCGUCGAAGGUGGGACUGGUGAUUAGGACUAAAUGG
rnacentral:rRNA from 1 species